rfam:Sulfurovum sp. NBC37-1 genomic DNA, complete genome.
UUUUCAGACCUGUGCAACGGGACUGAGGGACAACGGGUCAGGACGGGAACGUAGCAGCCCACCCCUCUUUCUCGUGUGCCGCAGCCAUCUGGGGAGAG